rnacentral:rRNA from 1 species
GGGGGGGUGCUAAUACAUGCAAGUCGAGCGAACAGAUGAGAAGCUUGCUUCUCUGAUGUUAGCGGCGGACGGGUGAGUAACACGUGGGUAACCUACCUAUAAGACUGGGAUAACUCCGGGAAACCGGGGCUAAUACCGGAUAAUAUUUUGAACCGCAUGGUUCAAUAGUGAAAGACGGUUUCGGCUGUCACUUAUAGAUGGACCCGCGCCGUAUUAGCUAGUUGGUAAGGUAACGGCUUACCAAGGCGACGAUACGUAGCCGACCUGAGAGGGUGAUCGGCCACACUGGAACUGAGACACGGUCCAGACUCCUACGGGAGGCAGCAGUAGGGAAUCUUCCGCAAUGGGCGAAAGCCUGACGGAGCAACGCCGCGUGAGUGAUGAAGGUCUUCGGAUCGUAAAACUCUGUUGUUAGGGAAGAACAAAUUUGUUAGUAACUGAACAAGUCUUGACGGUACCUAACCAGAAAGCCACGGCUAACUACGUGCCAGCAGCCGCGGUAAUACGUAGGUGGCAAGCGUUAUCCGGAAUUAUUGGGCGUAAAGCGCGCGUAGGCGGUUUCUUAAGUCUGAUGUGAAAGCCCACGGCUCAACCGUGGAGGGUCAUUGGAAACUGGGAAACUUGAGUGCAGAAGAGGAGAGUGGAAUUCCAUGUGUAGCGGUGAAAUGCGCAGAGAUAUGGAGGAACACCAGUGGCGAAGGCGGCUCUCUGGUCUGUAACUGACGCUGAUGUGCGAAAGCGUGGGGAUCAAACAGGAUUAGAUACCCUGGUAGUCCACGCCGUAAACGAUGAGUGCUAAGUGUUAGGGGGUUUCCGCCCCUUAGUGCUGCAGCUAACGCAUUAAGCACUCCGCCUGGGGAGUACGACCGCAAGGUUGAAACUCAAAGGAAUUGACGGGGACCCGCACAAGCGGUGGAGCAUGUGGUUUAAUUCGAAGCAACGCGAAGAACCUUACCAAAUCUUGACAUCCUUUGACCGCUCUAGAGAUAGAGUCUUCCCCUUCGGGGGACAAAGUGACAGGUGGUGCAUGGUUGUCGUCAGCUCGUGUCGUGAGAUGUUGGGUUAAGUCCCGCAACGAGCGCAACCCUUAAGCUUAGUUGCCAUCAUUAAGUUGGGCACUCUAGGUUGACUGCCGGUGACAAACCGGAGGAAGGUGGGGAUGACGUCAAAUCAUCAUGCCCCUUAUGAUUUGGGCUACACACGUGCUACAAUGGAUAAUACAAAGGGCAGCGAAUCCGCGAGGCCAAGCAAAUCCCAUAAAAUUAUUCUCAGUUCGGAUUGUAGUCUGCAACUCGACUACAUGAAGCUGGAAUCGCUAGUAAUCGUAGAUCAGCAUGCUACGGUGAAUACGUUCCCGGGUCUUGUACACACCGCCCGUCACACCACGAGAGUUUGUAACACCCGAAGCCGGUGGAGUAACCUUUUAGGAGCUAGCCGUCGAAGGGGACAGA